GGGGGAGACACUAUGGGACAAGGGGAGGGGGACACUAUGGGAGAAAGGGAGGGGAGACACUAUGGGACAAGGGGAGGGGAGGAGACACUAUGGGACAAGGGGAGGGGAGGAGACACUAUGGGACAAGGGGAGGGGGACACUAUGGGGACAAGGGGAGGGGGAGACACUAUGGGACAAGGGGAGGGGGACACUAUGGGAGAAAGGGAGGGGAGACACUAUGGGACAAGGGGAGGGGAGGAGACACUAUGGGACAAGGGGAGGGGAGGAGACACUAUGGGACAAGGGGAGGGGGACACUAUGGGAGAAAGGGAGGGGAGACACUAUGGGACAAGGGGAGGGGGGACACUAUGGGACAAGGGGAGGGGGGACACUAUGGGACAAGGGGAGGGGGAGACACUAUGGG